AGUGAACGCUGGCGGUAGGCCUAACACAUGCAAGUCGAACGGCAGCACAGUAAGAGCUUGCUCUUACGGGUGGCGAGUGGCGGACGGGUGAGGAAUACAUCGGAAUCUACUUUUUCGUGGGGGAUAACGUAGGGAAACUUACGCUAAUACCGCAUACGACCUACGGGUGAAAGCAGGGGAUCUUCGGACCUUGCGCGAUUGAAUGAGCCGAUGUCGGUUUAGCUAGUUGGCGGGGUAAAGGCCCACCAAGGCGACGAUCCGUAGCUGGUCUGAGAGGAUGAACAGCCACACUGGAACUGAGACACGGUCCAGACUCCUACGGGAGGCAGCAGUGGGGAAUAUUGGACAAUGGGCGCAAGCCUGAUCCAGCCAUACCGCGUGGGUGAAGAAGGCCUUCGGGUUGUAAAGCCCUUUUGUUGGGAAAGAAAAGCAGCAGGUUAAUACCCCGCUGUUCUGACGGUACCCAAAGAAUAAGCACCGGCCAACUUCGU
rnacentral:rRNA from 1 species